GAGGAUUGGAGAAAGGCAGAUGUGGUUCCUAUAUUCAAAAAGGGUUCAAAAUCCUUGCUUGGAAAUUAUAGACCUGUAAGCUUAACUUCUGUGGCUGGGAAAAUAUUUGAAACGUAAUUAAGGGAUAAUCAAGAAUUCCUUGAGAAGAACAUGACUAUGUGCAUGGUUUUAUGAAGCACAGGUCAUGUCAAACUAACUUGAUUGUGUUCUAUGAAGAAGUAAGUAGAAAUAUAGAUCAGGGUGUUGCAGUGGAUGUGAUCUAUUUGGAAGUUGCUUUUUAUACAGGUGCACACAAUAGAUUAAUGUACAAACUCAAAGAAAUUGGUAUAGAUGAAAAUUCUUGUUCUUGGGUAGACCAUUGGCUUAAAAAUAGAGUAG